rnacentral:rRNA from 1 species
GACGGAGGAUGGCAAGUGUUAUCCGGAAUCACUGGGCGUAAAGCGUCUGUAGGUGGUUUAAUAAGUCAACUGUUAAAUCUUGAGGCUCAACCUCAAAAUCGCAGUCGAAACUAUUAGGCUAGAGUAUAGUAGGGGUAAAGGGAAUUUCCAGUGGAGCGGUGAAAUGCGUAGAGAUUAGGAAAGAACACCGAUGGCGAAGGCACUUUACUGGGCUAUUACUAACACUCAG